GUAAUGUAUGGGGAUCUGCCCGAUAGAGGGGGAGUAACUACUGGAAACGGUGGCUAAUACCGCAUAAUGUCUACGGACCAAAGCAGGGGCUCUUCGGACCUUGCACUAUCGGAUGAACCCAUAUGGGAUUAGCUAGUAGGUGGGGUAAAGGCUCACCUAGGCGACGAUCUCUAGCUGGUCUGAGAGGAUGAUCAGCCACACUGGGACUGAGACACGGCCCAGACUCCUACGGGAGGCAGCAUG
rnacentral:rRNA from 1 species